rnacentral:lncRNA from 1 species
UGCCAAUCAGAGCAGAACAUCCUGUUGUGGGAGUGGAGUAGUUAGAAGUUUCAUGGUAUAUCUUUCAGAAAAGAAUAAACUAGCAUUAUAAUUGAGGUCAUUGCCAAAACAUGGUAUUCUCAUGAAAAGAUGUGAUAGGAUUAAGCUGUCAUUAAUGCUUAUUAGCCGGGGUUGGGGGGAAAUCUUUCCUAAACAGAACUUUUAACUUAACUGGAAUUAACUGAGGCUUUUUCUAAGCCAGCAAAACUGCUCAGACUACUAAAGGAGCAUAUUUGUGGGCACUGUCUGACUCGUAUGAAGAUGCACAUGUGAGAAUGGAUACUCAGGUGUCUGCACAUGGAGCAUCAAGAUUCAAUGAGCCAUAAGAGAGCAAGAUCUAGUGCAUAAAUGCUUUAAAUCUCUAUUAGCAUCACACUUGUUAAUAUUCCAUUGGUCAAAGCAAGUCAUAUGGAUAAGCCACAAAUCAAAGGGUGGAAGAUAGAUUCUACUUCUUGAUGGAAGAAUUGCAAGUUGGAGGAGAUACAAAAAGUUACAUUGCAAAAGUUAGCUCUAAUGAGCAUAAAGGGAAGAAACCUGUGAUAGAAAAGGAGGCCUCUGUCAUACCCAUAUUCAUUUUCAAUGGAGUGUUUUGGGCUUUGCGUAAGUACAAAUAUAAGUGUGAGAUUGGACCUCCUAAUACAGUCAAAUGCUCACAGUGUACAGUGUAGCAGCUAAUAACAGCUCAAAAUCUAGAGUCAUCUCCUCUAUCUGAAUUCUAGUUUCGCCCCUUGUGAACUGGAUCAUUGUGGGCAACUAAGUGUUUAACUACUUAAAAUCAACUUUCUAAUCAGUAAAGUUGUAAUAAUAAUAGUAAAAUCAGCAUGGUUUGGGAAAGAUUAACAUAUGUAACAUAAUAGCAUAUUUUAUUAGCUAUUAUUUGUAUUAUUAUGGUUGUUAAUUUUACUCUGGAAGACAAUGGGAGAGUUAUUCUUACCCCUCAUUGACCAUAAACAACAACUGAACAUAAACAUUAUUACAUGUAUAUCGUCCAUACAUGUAAACACUGAGAUGAGACUCAAUGCAAAAUAUAUUUCCAUAUACUAAAAUAUCACAAAUAUCCCUAACAUUUAAAAUAAUUCAGAAGACCAAUUUCAGAAGACCCUUCCUAAAUGGACAUGUGCUUUGAUUUCCAGUCCUAAUGAUCUGGUAGCUUUUCAGGUAUUUGUUAUUAAGAUUGGUAAAUAAUACUAUUCCUUCCAAGGUAAAAUUAGAUGAGCCAGAGUCUGGAGGGUUAUCUUUCAUAAGGUUUAUUAUAAAGUUAUUUAUUUUAUAUGUAUUCUACAUAGGGAAG